CCUGGUUGAUCCUGCCAGUAGUCAUAUGCUUGUCUCAAAGAUUAAGCCAUGCAUGUGUAAGUAUGAACUAAUUCAGACUGUGAAGCUCAUUAAAUUAGUUAUAGUUUGUUUGAUGGUAUCUACUACUCGGAUUACCAUAGUAAUUCUAGAGCUAAUACGAACAACAAACCCUGAAUUCUAGAAGGGAUGUAUUUAUUAGAUAAAAAGUCGACGUGGGCUAUGCCCGUUGCUUUAAUGAUUCAUGAUAACUCAAUGGAUCGCACGGCCUUUAUGCCAACGACGCAUCAUUCAAAUUUCUACCCUAUGGUGGUGACAGGUGAUGGAGAAUUAGGGUUCGAUUUCAGAGAGGGAGCCUAAGAAACGGCUACCACAUCCAAGAAAGGCAGCAGGCAUACAAAUUACCCAAUCCUGACACAAAGAGGUAGUGACAAUAAAUAACAAUAUCAGACUCUAUGAGUCUGGUAAUUGGAAUGAGUACAAUCUAAAUCCCUUAACGAGGAUCCAUUAGAGGGCAAGUUUGGUGCCAGUAGCCAUGGUAAUUCCAGCUCCAAUAGUGUAUAUUUAAGUUGUUGCAGUUAAAAAGCUCGUAGUUGGAACUAGGGUUGGGUCAUUUGGUUCACCUCACGGUGAGCACUGAUCUACUCAUCCCUACUACCGACGAUGUGCUCUUAGACUUAGUUACUCGGGUUGUUCCUUCGACGCUGUUACUUUGAAGAAGUUAGAGUGCCUAAAGCAGGCUUACACUUGUAUACAUUAGCAUGGGAUAACAUCAUAGGAUUUUGGUCCCAUUAUGUUGGCCUUUGGGAUCAGAGUAAUGAUUAACAGGGACAGUCGGGAGUAUUCAUAUUUCAUAGUCAGAGGUGAAAUUCUUGGAUUUAUGAAAGAUGAACAACUGUAAAAGCAUUUACCAAGGAUGUUUUCAUUAAUCAAGAAUGAAAGUUAGGGGCUAAAAAAUGAUCAGAUACCGUCCUAAUCUCAACCAUAAAUGAUGCCGACCAUGGAUCGACGGAUGUUACUUUUAGGACUCUGCCAGCACCUUAUGAGAAAUCAAAGUCUUUGGGUUUCGAUGGGAGUAUGGUUGCAAGGUUGAAACUUAAAGGAAUUGACGGAAGGGCAUCACCAGGAGUGGAGCUUACGGCUUAAUUUGACUCAACACGGGGAAACUUACUAAGCCCAAACAUAGUAAGGAUUGACAGAGGGAGAGCUCUUUCUUGAUUCUAUGGGUGGUGGUGCAUGGCCGUUCUUAGUUGGUGGAGCGAUUUGUUUGGUUAAUUUUGUUAACAAACAAGACCUCAGCCUGCUAACUAGCUACACAGAGGUGAUCCUUCGUGGCUAGCUUCUUAGAGGGACUAUGGCCGCUUAGGCCCAGAAAGUUUGAGGUAAUAACAAGUCUAUGAUGCCCUUAGAUGUUCUAGGCCGCACGUGCUCUACAUUGAUGUAUUCAAUGAGUCUAUGGCCUUAGCCGACAGGCCCAUGUAAUCUUUGAAAUUUCAUUAUGAUGGGGAUAGAUCAUUGCAAUUAUUGGUCUUCAUUGAGGAAUUCUUAGUAAGCGCGAGUCAUCAGCUCAUGUUGACUAUGUCCCUACCUUUUGUACACACAGCCCAUCCCUCCUACCGAUUGAAUGGUCUGAUGAAGUGCUCGGAUCAUGGUGAUGUGGAUGGUUUGCCACCCAUGAUGUCGCGAUAAGUCCACUGAACCUUAUCAUUUAGAGGAAGAAGAAGUCGUAACAAGGUUUCUAUAGGUGAACCUACAAAAG
rnacentral:rRNA from 1 species